AUUGAACGCUGGCGGAAUGCUUUACACAUGCAAGUCGAGCGGCAGCGCGGGGGCAACCCUGGCGGCGAGCGGCGAACGGGUGAGUAACAUAUCGGAACGUACCCAGUCGUGGGGGAUAACUAUCCGAAAGGAUAGCUAAUACCGCAUACGUCCUGAGGGAGAAAGCGGGGGAUCGCAAGACCUCGCGCGAUUGGAGCGGCCGAUAUCGGAUUAGCUAGUUGGUGGGGUAAAGGCUCACCAAGGCGACGAUCCGUAGCGGGUCUGAGAGGACGACCCGCCACACUGGAACUGAGACACGGUCCAGACUCCUACGGGAGGCAGCAGUGGGGAAUUUUGGACAAUGGGGGCAACCCUGAUCCAGCCAUUCCGCGUGAGUGAAGAAGGUCUUCGGGUUGUAAAGCUCUUUCGGCCGGGAAGAAAUCGCACAGGUUAAUACCCUGUGUGGAUGACGGUACCGGAAUAAGAAGCACCGGCUAACUACGUG
rnacentral:rRNA from 1 species